UACAGAGGUGGCAAGCGUUGUUCGGAAUUACUGGGCGUAAAGGGCGCGUAGGCGGUUCGUUAAGUCCUGUGUGAAAUCCCCCGGCUCAACUGGGGAACUGCACAGGAAACUAGCGGGCUUGAGUUCGGGAGAGGGAAGCGGAAUUCCGGGUGUAGCGGUGAAAUGCGUAGAUAUCUGGAGGAACACCGGUGGCGAAGGCGGCGUUCUGGACUGCAACUGACACUGAGAAACGAAAGCCAGGGUAGCAAACGGG
rnacentral:rRNA from 1 species